UAUACGUCGGUGAUUGCGAUGCUGGUUGCCAUAGUUGCGGUGUUUGCACUUAACAUCUUUCUGCUCAGUAGAAGAAUAAGUGGCAUGCGAGAGCCUCAAGAUCAUCAAGAUGAAAAAGAGGCUUCACAGGCUGGUAUCUAUGACGACUGCAGGGCGGCUUCAGACUCGACCUACCAAACCCUGAACACGGCCACCAUGGAGCCGGAGCACACCUACGCUGCUGUCUCCACAA